AGUCGACGGUUAAGCAUCUUCGGAUGUGUAUAAAGUGGCGAACGGCUGAGUAACACGUGGGCAACCUGCCCUUUGCACUGGGAUAGCCUCGGGAAACCGAGGUUAAUACCGGAUACUCCAUAUUUGUCGCAUGGCGAAUAUGGGAAAGCUCCGGCGGCAAAGGAUGGGCCCGCGGCCUGUUAGCUAGUUGGUGGGGUAGUGGCCUACCAAGGCGAUGAUGGGUAGCCGGGUUGAGAGACCGACCGGCCAGAUUGGGACUGAGACACGGCCCAGACUCCUACGGGAGGCAGCAGUGGGGAAUCUUGCACAAUGGGCGAAAGCCUGAUGCAGCGACGCCGCGUGCGGGAUGAAGGCCUUCGGGUUGUAAACCGCUUUCAGCAGGGACGAGGCCGCAAGGUGACGGUACCUGCAGAAGAAGCCCCGGCUAACUACGUGCCAGCAGCCGCGGUAAUACGUAGGGGGCAAGCGUUAUCCGGAUUCAUUGGGCGUAAAGCGCGCGUAGGCGGUCUGUUAGGUCAGGAGUUAAAUCUGGGGGCUCAACCCCUAUCCGCUCCUGAUACCGGCAGGCUUGAGUCUGGUAGGGGAAGAUGGAAUUCCAAGUGUAGCGGCGAAAUGCGCAGAUAUUUGGAAGAACACCGGUGGCGAAGGCGGUCUUCUGGGCCAUGACUGACGCUGAGGCGCGAAAGCUAGGGGAGCGAACAGGAUUAGAUACCCUGGUAGUCCUAGCUGUAAACGAUGGACACUAGGUGUGGGGAGAUUAUACUUUCCGUGCCGCAGCUAACGCAUUAAGUGUCCCGCCUGGGGAGUACGGUCGCAAGACUA
rnacentral:rRNA from 1 species